GAUGAACGCUGGCGGCGUGCCUAAUACAUGCAUGUCGAACGAGGUGCUUUUGUAGCAAUACGAGAGUAUCCUAGUGGCGAACGAGUGAGUAACGCGUUGGUGACCUACCCCAAAGUGUGGGAUAACAGUCCGAAAGGAUUGCUAAUACCGCAUGUGGUCAUUGGAUUUAGAAACUGAUGACUAAAGGAGCAAUUCGCUUUGGGAGGGACCGGCGUCCCAUCAGCUAGUUGGUGAGGUAAUGGCUCACCAAGGCGACGACGGGUAGGGGGCCUGAGAUGGUGACCCCCAACAAUGGAACUGAAACACGGUCCAUACACCUACGGGUGGCAGCAGAAGGGAAUAUUGCUCAAUGGGCGAAAGCCUGAAGCAGCAACGCCGCGUGUGUGAUGAAGGCCUUCGGGUCGUAAAGCACUUUUCUGGGUGAUGAGAAAGGACAGUAUCCCAGGAAUAAGUCUCGGCUAACUACGUGCCAGCCGCCGCGGUAAGAC
rnacentral:rRNA from 1 species